rnacentral:rRNA from 1 species
AAAGAAUUUAAAGAGUGCACUUCAUUGUGGCUCGACAUUUUCUACCAUUCACCCUAGUGCACUGUAAUACCCUUUUUUAUUAGACUCUACAAAGUUAUUGAAUGUAACACUUUUUUAUAAAGAAAUAAAACUUUUAACAACGGAUCUCUUGGCUCUCGCAACGAUGAAGAACGCAGCGAAAUGCGAUAAGUAAUGUGAAUUGCAGAAUUCAGUGAAUCAUCAAAUCUUUGAACGCACCUUGCGCCCUUUGGUAUUCCGAAGGGCACACCUGUUUGAGUGUCAUUAAUCUCUCAACCCUAACAUUUUUUUAUUAGAAUGGUAGUGGCUGGAUGUUGAGCGUUGCUGGACCUUUUUUGGUUCAGCUCGCUUUAAAAUUAUGAGCAGGCUCCUACCAUUUCGGACUGACUCAACGUGAUAAGAAAUUUCGUUGAGGACGCUUUACAGCGGCCGAAUUGUAGGGAAAUGCCGCUGCUAGUUGACCCUUAUAUUUUAGACCUCAAAUCAGGUGGGACUACCCGCUGAGCUUAA